rnacentral:rRNA from 1 species
GAUGAACGCUAGCGGCAGGCUUAAUACAUGCAAGUCGAGGGGCAGCACGGUUAGCAAUAACUGGUGGCGACCGGCGCACGGGUGCGUAACACGUAUACAAUCUACCUUAAACAGGGGGAUAGCCUUUCGAAAGAGAGAUUAAUACCCCGUAAUAAAUUGAACGGCAUCGUUUGAUUUUGAAAGCUCCGGCGGUUUGAGAUGAGUAUGCGUCUGAUUAGCUAGUUGGUGAGGUAACGGCUACACCAAGGCGACGAUCAGUAGGGGAUCUGAGAGGACUAACCCCCACACUGGUAACUGAGACACGGACCAGACUCCUACGGGAGCAGCAGUAGGAUUAUGGUCAAU